rnacentral:rRNA from 1 species
UACGUAGGUGGCAAGCGUUUGUCCGGAUUUACUGGGCGUAAAGGGCGUGCAGGCGGUUUGUUUAGUCUAGGGUGAAAGCUCCCGGCUUAACUGGGAGAGGUCCUUGGAUACUGGCAAACUUGAGGGAGGCAGAGGAAAGUGGAAUUCCCGGUGUAGUGGUGAUAUGCGUAGAUAUCGGGAGGAACACCGGUGGCGAAGGCGGGUCUCUGGGCCGAUACUGACGCUGAGGAGCGAAAGCGUGGGGAGCGAACAGG